CUCCUGGGAGGAAAACACCCCUUGUUUCAUCAGCUCAGCACGGAGUUCUGGAGACACUGGAUGUAGUCAGGUCCUGGGCACUGGCCCAGAUCUAGACAGAGCAGAAGAAACUAAGUAUGUUAAGAAAGUGACUAACAAAGAUUCCAAUUCAAAUGAGAACAUUCUAGAAUGAAUGUAGUUUAAUAUUGCAUAUAUAGUAAGAGUCUAAAUUAGGUUUCUUAUUUCAAGAAAAAAUUAUAUCCUUCUUUGGAUUUUCCUGAGACUCCUACACAAAGUUCCAUGCUGGUUUCCGCAGCACCGUCAUUGAUUUGCUUAGGACUUUGUCCUUGCCUCCCCUGCUUCUCCCUGAAGAUGUGUCCAGCCUUCUCAUCCCAUCCCCGCCUCCUAUGAGAAACUACAGACAACAUAAUGAGAGCUCUUUAGUGAGCAAAGCAGUGAACUGUGACUAUUUCUAGCAGUGAUCUUUGAGGUCUCCAAGAAGAUGAUGGGGGCUCUGCAACAAUGAUUCAACCUGGAUUGUGGUUACUUCCUGCUUGCAGUGGCUAAUGCCUCAACCUUUUAUGUUGCCGCCUGGACCACCUUACAACCUCCGAACGUUACCUUGCUGACUGGCUUAAACCGCACUGCUGUCCUGGCUCCAAGAGCAUAACCUUUC